rfam:Pan troglodytes isolate Yerkes chimp pedigree #C0471 (Clint) chromosome 12, whole genome shotgun sequence.
AUUUUAGUAUAAGUAUGUCCUAUAAAAUAUUUGAGGCAUACUUAUACUAAAA